UUUGUAUUUAUUCACAUUAACCACUGUACAAUAUCUUAUGACUGUCUAUCUAUUUCCUAUUACUUUUCUCUCUUAUCUUUUCUCUAACACACACCAGCUUUCCAGUCUCUGUCUUGACACUUCAAAACCUCCUCUCUAACCCUCUCAGUCUCCAACUGUUCUCCUGACUCCGCCCCUCCUGUCCUGCCAUAGUCUCCUGUCCUAGAGCUCCAUAUGUCGGACAGGCGUGACUUGGGCAUUGCGCCACAGCCAGAUACUAACCAGAAUCCAGUGUGCCUUUCUUUGGGUCCUUUUGCUUCUACCACUAUGGCAAUCUUCCCUUUGUCUUGCAGCUCCUGUACAUCCUAAUAUCUGUACUGGAAGGAUGGGGAAUCCUUUGGAGAGAUUCUUGCCACCACAGACAGCUGCCAGGGGGAGGCUCAGUUGUGCUGGUGCUGGGUACUGAAUUAAUGUUAGUUCUUGGUCAUUAUUGGCCACUUAUAAGAGUUGUAACUUUAAAAAAUGAUUCAUGAAGGACUGCCUCUGGCCUGCUGUGUCUGAUGAAAUGAACUAGUGUUCACAAAAGACAAAAUAGGGUAAGUGCUUUCAAGGCUGGGGUUAGGGAGUGUCAAAUCUCCCACUGAGUGGGAUGAUAAAACGUUCUGUCAAUAUACCAUGUUCAAAUUAGUAAAACUCCUUAAGAUAAGGGUGUGUGUGAGAAAACCAUGCUAGACUUUUAAAAAAAUAUGCAGUAACACUUCACUACUCAACUGAUGUUUUAUGCAUCAUAAAUUACUUUUUUCUUUUCUUCCCUUGUCCUUUUGAAUCAGAAUUUUGAACCCAAAUUGUGGAUCUACAUGAAUGAUUGAAAAUGAAAUUAACAGAAUGAAAUAGAAAUUAGAUUUUUAUGAGCAGCUGCUAUAAAAUUUACAAAGGAGUUGUGAUACCAGUUUACAUCACAAACAUGUGAGGGUUACUGAAAAAUCUGUAAGAAUAUUCUGAAGAAUUAUAUAUAAGUACUUGUUGUAGUCAGAACGUUAAACUCAGUCCUGCUGCCUUUCCCUUUAACGUAGUGUCCAUAUUUCUGAUGAUAUCCACAAUAUUGCCUGUCCUCAGAUCCUGUCGCCAUUAGCUGAAAUCGAUAGAUGUGAAGUCUGGUUGAAUGAUGCAUGCCUUGUGCUGGCUUCUCUUUGGAUGGUCUCGAGGAGAGAACAGAGGAAUGGAGAGGAACACCUGAGUCUGAGUGAUGAUGGUCAUAUUGCUUAUCCACCAAGCCACCCUGUUGUGUGUUUUCUUCUAUCCCAAGGGGAGCAGCACAUUCCAGUCAGGUUAGAGCUACAAUCAAAAGAUCCAAUUCUUCAACAAGAAGAUAGGUUUUCAAAGCAGAGCAGAGCAGAUCAACACAGAUGACGGCACAGAGCACCAGAAGCAAGAAAGCAGCAAGACCUCACAGACACAGAUGACAGCUGACUAGUUCAACACCAGCACCUGAGAUCAGCUGGUGAACUUUUUAUCAACAGAAAAUAUUUAUAAAUUAAGAUUUCUUUCACAUAAAAACUACCAAUGGGAGAAAAUGUCAAAAUAUUUGAGUUUAUGGGGUGCAGGGAGGUGCCCUAAAAAUGAAAAGGUCUUUUAAAAUAUGCCUCAGAAAAUGAAAGUUCAAUUGGAAAAGUGCUCUGUGAAGACAGUUUAUAUUACAAAACCAAAACAACUCACUCCUGAUAACAAGGCAGACGUAGCUUAUUCAGUUUCAUGCCAGUUUACACAAGAAAGAGUAAACAACAGAAAGCAAGCUGAUGACAGAUGACAUCAUGUGAAACAGAGACAAAAGAGAAAAAUAGAGUGCAACACAUGCUGCUUGUGUUGUGUUUUGCCUAUAAUGUUAAUUAGUAGAUGCCUCAAAAUAGAUGUGGAAACCUGAGAAUAAUAAUAAUAUUGUACAUUUGAAGUUUUUACAGAAUAAUGCAGAAGGAGAAAAAGAUGAAUGUUAUUUAAAGCUGUUUGUUUCAUGAUA